UACGGAGGAUCCAAGCGUUUAUCCGGAUUCAUUGGGUUUAAAGGGUGCGUAGGCGGAAUGAUAAGUCAGUGGUGAAAUCCCUUCGCUUAACGAAGGAACUGCCAUUGAUACUGUCAAUCUUGAGUACAUUUGAUGUGGGCGGAAUGUGUCAUGUAGCGGUGAAAUGGCUUAGAUAUGACACAGAACACCGAUUGCGAAGCAGCACACAAACUGUAAACUGACGCUGAGGCACGAAAGCGUGGGUAUCAAACAGG
rnacentral:rRNA from 1 species